GACGAACGCUGGCGGCGUGCCUAAUACAUGCCAGUUGAGCGAUGAAGAUUGGUGCUUGCACCAAUUUGAAGAGCAGCGAACGGGUGAGUAACGCGUGGGGAAUCUGCCUUUGAGCGGGGGACAACAUUUGGAAACGAAUGCUAAUACCGCAUAACAACUUUAAACAUAAGUUUUAAGUUUGAAAGAUGCAAUUGCAUCACUCAAAGAUGAUCCCGCGUUGUAUUAGCUAGUUGGUGAGGUAAAGGCUCACCAAGGCGAUGAUACAUAGCCGACCUGAGAGGGUGAUCGGCCACAUUGGGACUGAGACACGGCCCAAACUCCUACGGGAGGCAGCAGUAGGGAAUCUUCGGCAAUGGACGAAAGUCUGACCGAGCAACGCCGCGGGAGUGAAGAAGGUUUUCGGAUCGUAAAACUCUGUUGGUAGAGAAGAACGUUGGUGAGAGUGGAAAGCUCAUCAAGUGACGGUAACUACCCAGAAAGGGACGGCUAACUACGUG
rnacentral:rRNA from 1 species